CCACUGGGAGACUUAUGUCAAAACUGAGGAGUCAAAAUGCAGUCUAAAAGAAGUUUAUCCUCUCAUCUCCACCCUUGUUCCACCCUGCUGCCCUCAAAGCUCAGGAUGCACUGAAGUGCCUCAAGAAUUCUCCUCUGUCUCCAGUUCUCACUCUGGCCACCAGACUGCUUGGGGAAGGAAUCAUGACUCAGGAGAGCAGUUCUCCUCAACAGCUCUGCAGAGCACCCAGAGGAAAUUGAGAUGAAAAAAAAAAUCUGCCUUUUUCGAAAUCAAGUCCCUUUCUAAAGGAAACGCAGAAGGUCAGCAGCAGAGCCUAAAAUACAAACUCCUAACUCCAAACCUCAGCUUUCCACAAAUCUUACGACUGUCAGGCCACCAGCCCCUCCUUCCUCCCUGGAAACGGUAAUGGUAAGUGAUCCCUUUUCAGGAUCUCUCUAUAGACAAUUACAUUUUAAGUGAUUCAGAGUAGUCACUU
rnacentral:lncRNA from 1 species